UACGUAGGGGCCUAGCGUUGUCCGGAUUUAUUGGGCGUAAAGAGCUCGUAGGCGGUUUGUCGCGUCUGCUGUGAAAACUCAGGGCUUAACCCUGAGCCUGCAGUGGGUACGGGCAGACUAGAGUGUGGUAGGGGAGAUCGGAAUUCCUGGUGUAGCGGUGGAAUGCGCAGAUAUCAGGAGGAACACCGGUGGCGAAGGCGGAUCUCUGGGCCAUAACUGACGCUGGAGGAGCGAAAGCAUGGGGAGCGAACAGGA
rnacentral:rRNA from 1 species